rnacentral:rRNA from 1 species
UACGGAGGGUGCAAGCGUUGCUCGGAAUUAUUGGGCGUAAAGGGUAGGUAGGUGGUCUCAUUUGUCAGGGGUGAAAGCCUUGGGCUUAACUCAAGAAGUGCCCCUGAAACGGUGAGACUAGAGUGCUGGAGAGGGUCGUGGAAUUCCCGGUGUAGCGGUGAAAUGCGUAGAGAUCGGGAGGAACACCAGAGGCGAAGGCGGCGACCUGGACAGCUACUGACACUCAACUACGAAAGCGUGGGGAGCAAACAGG